CUACUGGCCCCCCUAGCAUCUGCUGCAGAGGUCUCCUCUACAGCUCCCGUGUCUGGGAAGAAGCACAGACCACCAGGACCCCUGUUCUCCUCCUCAGAUCCCCUUCCUGCCACCUCUUCCCACUCCGGGGACUCAGCCCAGGACACCUCGCUGAUUCCUGCCCCCUUCACACCUGCAAGCAGGGAUGCCGGCAUCAGAAGAAUGUUUCGUGUUCGAAACUGUUUGAGGGGUUUGGGUUUAUUUUUGUUGGUUUUUUCUUUUUUUUUUUUGCUUACGUGGGCAUCCUUCAGCUUUUAAUAAUCUGAAAAAUUCUAUUUACCCAUUGUCAAUGUGUAUAAAUUAAUCUCAGUCAAUUUUAUACAAUAAAAGGUGAACUUUUAUCCAUCAAACAAUAAUUUAACAAAAAAUGUACCGGAAGAAGAAUGUUCAUUACAAAUAUAGGAAACAUAAAUAUUACCAAAUAUUGGCAAGCACUAAAAUGUUCAGAAAUAUAAGUCUAUUACAGUUAUAGCUCUCUCAAGCAAAAAAACAGCAGAGAAAAACUUAGUUUUCCUGAGGGGCUAUUUAUUUACUUAGGGAUUUGUUAAAAGGUCAAAUGGGGUCACACAGAAUACUAAGAAGAGCUGUUCACCCAGGCCUCACUAAGAACUCUUCUUCAUGCAGUAGCUAUAUAGUAAUAUGACAACUGCUCCUACGACCCAAAGAGGAACUACAGCAACUACUCUUUAGCAUCUGUUGCUCCCAACUCUGCUUUGC
rnacentral:lncRNA from 10 species